CGGACGGGUGAGUAACGCGUGGGUAACCUGCCUUGUACAGGGGGAUAACAGUUGGAAACGGCUGCUAAUACCGCAUAAGCGCACGGUAUCGCAUGAUGCAGUGUGAAAAACUCCGGUGGUAUAAGAUGGACCCGCGUUGGAUUAGCUAGUUGGUGAGGUAACGGCCCACCAAGGCGACGAUCCAUAGCCGACCUGAGAGGGUGACCGGCCACAUUGGGACUGAGACACGGCCCAG
rnacentral:rRNA from 1 species